AACAUCAGUAGCAACAUCAGUAGCAGUCUUAACGAGCACAAUGAAACCAGCAUCUCUAGUCUGUAGCAACUGCUUAAUGAAAACAAACAGCGACUACAGCCACGUAGCUUACCCUCUCCACGCUGCGCCUUCUCAGAGAUCCAUAAGUUGUGUGAAGCAGCGCCUUCAGCUUCCUUCUGGCUGUCCCUGCAGCUCUGGCUCAGCGUGACCUGCUGCCCCAGGAGUGGGUACGUGGUGCUUGUGAGGAGAAUGAUCCAGAAAUGUCAACUUGGCUUCUCCGGGCUUCGGAUGGCAACCAGUUGGUCUAUGGAGAGGUUUUGGAAUGUCCGUGGAAGGCAGAGCCACUGAGCUAUGCCUACUAGAGAUGAGAGAUAAGCAACAAGUCUUCUCAUCUUCUGAAACAAGAGGAAGAUGGAUUGACAGCAGAAGCAGUUCACAUAUAACAAGAAAUUCUAUACUUGCUAUUCUUUUAAAAUAUUUAUCAUUAAUAAAAAUUUUAGAUGUA
ensembl:processed_transcript Gm13187 predicted gene 13187